AUGCUUCAUGCUAGUGUGACUUCCCCAUGCGAUGAUUUACCCAUUUAUGAUGAGUAUGAUGAUUGCCAUGUGGAGUCUAUUAGUUGUGAUGCCAUGUUUCAUAGGAUUUCUUGUGCUAAUUCUCUCGGUCACAUCAUGUUUGCCAAUCCGCUUGACUUGUCAUAUGCUAUCCAUGAGAUCAAUCAUAUGUCAUAUUUGCAAUCUCUUCAUAGUGACUAUGCAUAUGCUAUUAAAAUAAACCCAAUUUGCACAUAUGGCAUAGAUGACAAGCCCAUGGUUAUUGGCAUUUGUUUUUCUUGUGAUGGUAUUGAUAUGCUCCCAUUGCAUCAUUUAUCUCAUAUGCCAUGCCAUGAACACCUAGCUUCGGAUAUGCAUUGUUUUGGAUGUUGUCCAUUUUCUCCAUGUGAUCUUUCCAAUAUUGCUCACGAGGAGACCCCCAUAGUUUCCUCAUACAUUUUAGUAGAUUUUGAUUCAUCCCAUUCAUUGCAUGAUCCCAAUACUUGUGUGCACCAUAUGCUUCCCAUGAAUAAACAUGCCAUUGAUGUGCCAUAUACUUGCAUUCUCAAUUUGUGUCCCCAUCGUGUUAUACACAAUAACUAUUCUUUCAUGAUGGAUGACAUGUUCUUAUACCAUGCAUCAAAUUUCUUUGAGCGAUGCUUAUCUUGUGCUAACUCUCACGUGCACAUACACAUCAUGAUGGAUGAUGUGUACAUUUACCACACACACAAUCUCUUUCGUUUGUGUCUCUUUUGUGUAGGUACCCUUGAAUAUUUGUCAACCUCGCAAUCCCACGAGUUGACAAAAUGA
rnacentral:rRNA from 1 species